rnacentral:rRNA from 1 species
CCUGGCGACACUAGCGGGGCGGUCCCACGCCUUCCCAUCCCGAACAGGACCGUGAAACGCCUUAGCGCCGAUGAUAGUGUGGCAUUCGCCAUGU